AGUCAUAUGCUUGUCUCAAAGAUUAAGCCAUGCAUGUCUAAGUCCAAGCUGUGUUCACACGGCGAGACCGCGGACGGCUCAUUAAAUCAGUCGUGGUCCAAAUGGGCCAGUGCAAAUCCUACUUGGAUAACUGUGGUAAUUCCAGAGCUAAUACAUGCAACUGAUAUCCCGAAGGCGGUGUUGGGGCUUGCUUGCCUUGCGCUGCGCUGCUCUGACGGAUGCUUUUAUUAGACCAAGCCGCUGAGGACUUGAGGGUUCGCGCUCUCUUGUUUGACUCGUGUGAUGGUGACUCUGGAUAACCAAAUUCUGACAAGCGCACGUACUUCUCUUCUGAGCGAGACGGCGCUGCCACUUUCGAGUGUCUGCCUUAUCAGCUAUCAACCGUUCGUUAUGCGCGACCGAUGGCUUUGACGGGUAACGGGGAAUCAGGGUUCGAUUCCGGAGAGGCAGCCUGAGAGACGGCUACCACGUCCAAGGACGGCAGCAGGCACGCAAAUUACCCAAUCCCAGCAAAUGGGGGAGGUAGUGACGAAAUCUAACGAUGCGGGCGCCCUUUCUGGGGCCCCGCAAUCGGAAUGGGCACUUUCUAAACAACCUGUUGAGAACCUACUGAAGGGCAAGUCUGGUGCC
rnacentral:rRNA from 1 species